rnacentral:lncRNA from 10 species
AUCCCCCAAAUCUUCGCCAUCUGAUUGGGAAAAGAACCUGGCCCUAUAGCUCCAAUUUUAAAAGCCCAGGGAAGGGCUGUUUGGACUAGCUGAGUCCCAUGCUUACCUCCUAGAUUAUUGGCUCUCAGUGGGGAGGGAGAGGAUUUUGCCCCCCAGGGACAUUGUCCCCCAGAAGACAUUGCCAAAUGUUAAUGUCUGGAGACAUUUUUGGUUGUUUUAAUGGGGGCAGGGGGCCAGGUGUGGCGGCUCAUGCCUGUAAUCCUAGCAUUUUGGCAGGCCAAGGUGGGUGGAUUGCCUGAGCUCAGGAGUUUGAGACCAGCCUGGGCAACAUGGUGAAACCCCAUCUC